UACGUAGGGUGCAAGCGUUAAUCGGAAUUACUGGGCGUAAAGCGUGCGCAGGCGGUGAUGUAAGACAGGUGUGAAAUCCCCGGGCUUAACCUGGGAACUGCAUUUGUGACUGCAUCGCUGGAGUGCGGCAGAGGGGAUGGAAUUCCGGCGUGUAGCAGUGAAAUGCGUAGAUAUGCGGAGGAACACCGAUGGCGAAGGCAAUCCCCGUGGGCCUGCACUGACGCUCAUGCACGAAAGCGUGGGGAGCAAACAGG
rnacentral:rRNA from 1 species